rnacentral:rRNA from 1 species
GAUGAACGCUGGCGGCGUGCCUAAUACAUGCAAGUCGAGCGAACAGACGAGGAGCUUGCUCCUCUGACGUUAGCGGCGGACGGGUGAGUAACACGUGGAUAACCUACCUAUAAGACUGGGAUAACUUCGGGAAACCGGAGCUAAUACCGGAUAACAUGUUGAACCGCAUGGUUCAACAGUGAAAGACGGUCUUGCUGUCACUUAUAGAUGGAUCCGCGCCGCAUUAGCUAGUUGGUAAGGUAACGGCUUACCAAGGCAACGAUGCGUAGCCGACCUGAGAGGGUGAUCGGCCACACUGGAACUGAGACACGGUCCAGACUCCUACGGGAGGCAGCAGUAGGGAAUCUUCCGCAAUGGGCGAAAGCCUGACGGAGCAACGCCGCGUGAGUGAUGAGGGUCUUCGGAUCGUAAAACUCUGUUAUUAGGGAAGAACAAAUGUGUAAGUAACUAUGCACGUCUUGACGGUACCUAAUCAGAAAGCCACGGCUAACUACGUG